UUUUUUUGUGUUUUAUUUCUUGAGCUGAGUGGUGGAUACAGGGAUAUAUUUUAUAUUUUUCCCUGUCUCUUUUUUGAAUGUCUUACAUAUUGUAUACAUUUAAGAAAUAAAAUUACAUUACGAAAAGAAGACAUCAAAUUAGGACAGUCGGGAUACUUUUGAAAUUCAAUCUGAUUCAUGAAUUUGAGGGGGAACUGAAGAGUUAUAUGUGUAUAAGAAGUCCAGAUAAGAUACUUUCCAUCCAGGGUAUACAAAUUUAAGUCUUUUCUAAGGGCAAAAGAAAUACAAUCCAUCAGCUAUUGAGUCAAAUCCUAAAAUAUUAGCAAUAGACUCUUCUGCUCCUUGUUUGGACCCAAUGGAACAGGAAAGCUACUACUUUUGUCUUUUUGCACAUAGAAUGGAUUUAAUCAUUACAAAGCUUAUUUUCAUUCAUAUAGUUCUCACACACAGCCCCAGAAAGAUGAUGGCCUUUUGCAUUUUUCACUCUGGAGGAUGAAAUCAUGGACACAUCACAGGAGGCUGAACACACUCUGGAAAGGGGCAGGAAGGCUAGAAUUUGAAACAAAGACAUUUUGUUCCACAAACCCUCACUCCCCACCAGAAAGGCUUUGCAAUAGCACUUAGUAAUCUGGUGUGUAUCAGAUGUUAGAUAAAAUUAAUUGGGAACAGACAUUUAUCAUUAUUGAUUUGUAUUUGAUGGGCAUUUGUAACAUGACAUUAUCAACAAACAGUAGAAGAUAAAAAAGGCUGAGGAGUAAUGGGGACUGGCAAGGUUUCAUGAAAGGAUGUAAUCUUUAUCAUGAAGCACUUGCCCACAUUAACAAGUCCAUGAAAUUGAUUUCCAUGGAAAAUGCUUUAGAAGAAAACCCAAGGACAUCUUUCAGAAUUACUGAAACUGCUAUCUCUUGGGGAAUGUCUCUGCCUAUGUACACAUGUAUGUGUUUUUAAUUCAACUAUUUCUCACUUUGGCUAAUAAGGAGGUCUAAAUAAAAAAGUUAAGGCCGAAAGGACUUGUUAUAUGCCAUAAGCUCAUAUUUCAAAUAAAUUAAAUGUGGCUCCAUGCACUGCUCCAUUAAAAGUACUGACUUCAAUGCGAUUAGGUUGAUUAAUGACAUACCAGUUAAUAAAUGAAAAUAAAGUGAAUAUUAUUAUAUGAGAAGAGUUGAUUUGGGCGGUGGGGGGGGGGCAGUUAAAAUAAUACAAUGGACCUGUUUGAUCAGUAUAUAGCCCAAAUAACCCCCUGGAGAAAUGUAGUGCUGACCUUCAGAAGUAUUGUGUGAUUGGGACACUUCAGUGGCUCAGUGAUUGAGUGUCUGCCUUUGGCUCAGGUCGUGAUCCCAGGGUCCUGAGAUCAAGUCCGCAUCAGGCUACUAGCAGGGAGCCUAUUCACCCUCUGCCUAUGUCUCUGCCUCUCUCUCUCUCUCUCUCUCUCUCUCUGUGUGUGUGUGUAUGUGUCUCUCAUAAAUAAAUAAAUAAAAUCUUUUAAAAAACAAAAAAACCCAAAAGAAACAAAACUAUGGUGUUACAGAUAUGGUGGGAAGGAAGGGCACCAGCUCGGGAAUCAGGUAGAUUUGGGUGGAAUUCGGAUACACCCUUUACCAAAUGGGUGACUUUGGGCACCAGGCUCCUCAUCUGUAAGACAGGAGUAAUAACUACUCACCCAGGUGGUGGUCGUGAGGGGGAAUGAAGCCAUGUAUGCAAAACUCUGAGCCCAGAGGCUGGCACACAUUAGGCAUGGAACUCAGAGUUAAUUUCCCUUGCCACCUCAGGAAAAGAUGCUUGUAUCUAGAAGCCUCAUUGUUUCAGAAGAGAGUCUAGGUUUUAAUUUGUUGUAACAGUGAGAGAAAAUAAAGUAAUGGGAUUUUAUCAAUAGUUUCUCCCCAUGGCUCUCAAACCCUUUAUGAGCCACUUAGAGUUCUUGAUUAUAACUGUAGCAGCCAGCAUGCAAAGGUGUAGCUUUUGCAGUUGUAAAAUAUCGAAAUGUUUUCUUACCAUUUGCUAAGUUAUCACAUCACUGAGUCCUGAUGUGACCACCCAACCACCUUGGAACCCCUCAUCCUCUUUGAUCCAGCAACUAAAGGGUUGAUGCUUACUCAUUAGGGUGGGCAGGAUCUUAAGAGUUCUGGCUAGCUGUCCAUUUGAACACACUGGAAUGUAUGACCACACCCUACUGGUUUCUAAAUAUUUUAGAAUCACUGUCUUUUGUAACUGGUUGUUUCUUCACACACCUCUUUGGUCCCUGACUUAUUUGUGGGAGAGCAGAGAACUUGAAGUCACUCUCCCUUGGGGAGGUCCCUUGGGGAGGUCCCUUGGGUGGACCAGAGCUGGCUGUCCUGGCUGUAGUCUCGUCUACUUGGAUAGUUUCCCCUCUUAGCCCCAGCUGCUCUGGGGUCACUUUUUCCUGCAAGGUCUGUAACAUAAACCCAAAGGAUAUAACUGAAGUCCCAGCCUACAGGGUAGUUUUGUUUUGAAGGAUUCUGAACCAUGAAAGGAGGGAUCUCAACAACGUGGUUUCCUGUGGGUGGGCCUGUUCUGAGGCGGCUGUCUACCUCCCUCCCCCAGGGCAUAUACAUUCUUGGAAGGAGCUGAGAGGGCUGCUCCCAGACCCAGCCCAGGCAGACACAAAACUGGGCGGGUUAGGUCCCUGUUUCCCUCCAAUGGAUCCCUCAUCUGUUAGUCACUCCCUCCUAGGGUGUUAUUGUAAAGAAGCCCAUGAAUCUACAUUCCCAACAAACACUGUCUUUAUUCAUUCCACUAACAUUUACAUACUUCAUGCAGCAGCCUCUGUCCUUGCUGGUUUUUAAAUAUUAUUAGAUAUUCUUGUGAUUAAUAAAACACAAACUUAUCCAAAAGAGUACUAAACUCAGACGCUUUUGUUCACAUGUUAUUUUUGAAUCAACGGAUACUAAAAGUACUAAAAGCUACCAUCAUGUGGAAGGCUGUAACAUUUGACAUUAACAAGAGGUCCUCAUCCCAGAAAAGUUGGACAGUAUUGUAGCUCAUUAUGGGCAUGAAAAGGAAGUACAUAAUUUCACGAUUAGCAUAUUAGUUAAAGAGACAAAAGAAUGCCAACUCACCCCUCUUCUGCAUGGGAGGCCACCAUUCCAGUCUGUGGGGGUGAUCCUACUUCUCCAUAACUGCAACGCAAAGAGGAAGUUUAGGGUAAAUCCAGAGAUUCACAGCCCUCGGGAAAGCAUGCCCACAUCUAAAUAGGACUUUCACAAGCAA
rnacentral:lncRNA from 1 species